UUUAAUUUCCUUGGGAGAAACAACAUGAACAGAACCAAGGCCAGUUCUAGGCAGGACUUUCCUGCAUUUAGGUCCCUUCCUGCAUCCAGGUACACUCCCAUGACAACCAAGGGGUUCGAACCCAGUAAAAAAACCAGAGAGGCUGAAAGGUCUGCACCACCUAUCAGAGAGUACCACGGCACUUCAAUCUUCCCAUUGACCCCUAGGGAAGGGAAGGUUGAACUGGUAACUUGAUGCCAUAGCAACUGUGCAUACUAAUGAGAGAGCUUCCCAUCAAAAACCUCAGAGAUAUCAUCCCACCCCAGUGACAGCACACUCUGGGAAAGAAGAUCUUACCUCAUCAUCUACUAGCACCAAUCACCAGAGAUUAUGGGGGCAGAACUGCAAGUACAGACUGAGGGAACUGAGAACAUCAAAGGGGCAGCCUGGCCUGAAGAGCUGUCUUUGCUGUCUUUUACUGUUCCUGGGACUGUGACUUAGCUACAGCAGGGGACCCCACACUGCAGAUUUCAGUCAAUAUCUCUUUUUAGAGACCUUUUUCCAGAUUUGAGGGCAGACUAAGCGCAUUCACUGCAAUGCCCUUGGGUUCUGGCCUUGGGGCCAGACGCCAGUUCGGCUAGAGGUUUCCUCAAUCCUUGGGCCUGGGACUUUAUCCUUUUUUCUUUCUUUCCUUUCUUCUUUUUCCUUACCUCCCCUUUGUUUUUCCCCUUUAAAUAAACACCCUAUUUUUGUUCAAA